rnacentral:rRNA from 1 species
GGUUAAGUGGGAAACGAUGUGGGAAGGCUUAGACAGCUAGGAGGUUGGCUUAGAAGCAGCCACCCUUUAAAGAAAGCGUAAUAGCUCACUAGUCGAGUCGGCCUGCGCGGAAGAUGNAACCAUACACCGAAGCUACGGGUAUCACUUAGGUGAUGCGGUAGAGGAGCGUUCUGUAAGCCUGUGAAGGUGAGUUGAGAAGCUUGCUGGAGGUAUCAGAAGUGCGAAUGCUGACAUGAGUAACGACAAUGGGAGUGAAAAACUCCCACGCCGAAAGACCAAGGUUUCCUGCGCAACGUUAAUCGACGCAGGGUUAG